rnacentral:rRNA from 1 species
UACAGAGGUGGCAAGCGUUGUUCGGAAUUACUGGGCGUAAAGGGCGCGUAGGCGGUUCGUUAAGUCCUGUGUGAAAUCCCCCAGCUCAACUGGGGAACUGCACAGGAAACUAGCGGGCUUGAGUUCGGGAGAGGGAAGCGGAAUUCCGGGUGUAGCGGUGAAAUGCGUAGAUAUCCGGAGGAACACCGGUGGCGAAGGCGGCUUCCUGGACCGACACUGACGCUGAGGCGCGAAAGCUAGGGGAGCAAACGGG